rnacentral:lncRNA from 1 species
GCACAUGCCUGUAAUUCCAGUACUCAAGAGGCUGAGGCACGGGAAUCUCUUGCACCUAGGAGGCAGAGGUUGCAGUGAGCCGACUGUGCCACUGCACUCCAGCCUGGGUGACGGAGUGAGACUCUGUCUCAAAAAAAAAAAAGGAAAAAAAAUUUAGCUGGGUGUGGUAGUGCACACCUGUAGUCCCAGCUACUUGCGAGGCUGAGGUGGGAGGAUCACUUGAGACUGGGAGGUUGAGGCUGCAGUGAGCCAUGAUCGUACCAUUGCAUUCAUGAUCUGCCUGGGCGGCAGAGAAAGACCCCAUCUAUAAAUAAUAAUAAUAACAAAUGUUUUAUAUUGAUUACAUGUUGAAAUGAUAACUCUUUAGAUAUGAGUUAAAAUACAUUAUUAAAAUUAUCAUCUCCUUUUUUAACUUUGUUAAUGUGUCUACUAGAGAAUUAAAAUUUACAAAUGUGGCUCACAUUACAUUUCUUUUGGGCUAUGCUGAUAAAGAUCAGUUUGCUACUACCUAUGAUCAAUGUGCUGCAACCAUAAAUCCAUGUGGGACAAACAGUCUGAUUACUGUUCUAUCUUUCUGUCUUAUUGGAGUAACUGGGCCCACCUUGUCUCUGAUAGUCAAUCACUGUUUCUGAUUGUCACUGUGAGUUCCUAUUACUACAGUUAGUAUUACAGACUGUAAUGUAAUGGCAACAUCUCAUCUCACUGUCAUCCCUAGUCUUUAGAAGCUACCACAGAACUUUUCAAAGAUGCUGGUGUUCUUACUGAUGAAUUUUUAAAUAUUUUGUAAGGGAAGUGUCCUCUGUGCCUUAGGGGAUGGAUUCAGCAGAUUAUAUAAUAUAUAAUAGAUACAUUUCAAUUUCCCACCUCAACAAACUUCCAAUUCUUUGAUUCUUUCUACAAUAUGCUAGGGAAGUUCUGGCAUACUCAGCCUCAUUAGAUGUAGGGCAUUGUUAUAUCAAAGAGUGAAUUACUUAACCAGGCAAACUAUUAGAGCCAUUCCCAGCUGCUUAAGCUACAUCUUGAAUCCCAGGUGAAUUCACCUAUAUUGCCAAAUUUGAUCCAAUCCAGCUAGAUUUCAUCCUGCUUGGUCUACUACUCUUGGAAUCUAUUCCCAAACAUGUUCACCAGGUUUCUGCUAAUAUAACAAAAAGACAUUGUAAUUCUUUUGGAGUAUAACUAUGUCCUUCUGGAGAAGAUCUUUCAUUUUUUUCCUCUAGGCCAUAAGAUUUCUCCUGGCCCUGGAGGCAAUGAGAUAAGGUGGGGCUAGGUCUUUAGGACAAUAGACUGCCUCUUGCAAGGCAACUACCCUAUGUGAAAUAGAAAAGUCUAUGCAAGGGACUACUUUCUCCAGUAAGGGUAAUUCAGGGGCACUUAGGGGGCCAAUUAUCUCAGUUUGUUUGUUUGUUUGUUUGUUUGUGACAGAGUCUCACUCUGUCACCCAGGCUGGAGUGCAGUGGUGAGAUCUCAGCUCACUGCAACCUCUGCCUCCCAGGUGCAAGCAAUUCUUGUGUCUCAGCCUCCUGAGUAGCUGGGAUCACAGGUGCGUGCCAUCAUGCUCGGCUAAUUUUUGUAUUUUUAGUAGAGAUGGAGUUUCACCAUGUUGGCCAAGCUGGUCUCGAACACCUGGCCUCAAGCCAUCCACCCGACUCAGCUUCCGAAAGUGCUGGAGUUACAAGCUUGAGCCACUGCUCCCAGCCAGGAAUUUCAGUUUCAUUUGUUUCAUUCCAAAUGUCCUCUUCCCAAUCUCAGGGCCCAAUUCUAGCACAGACUAAUGUUAGAUAAGGUUGUACAUUUAAGAGGCUUUACAAAUCUUCAACCCCCACAAUUAUAUCUUAGGCGUGACCCACAGCUUUGUCUUCCCUGAGGCUUCAUGAGAUAAGGAAUUCCUAUAAGGCCUCCGUAGAAACUUUCCGGUUCUACACCCAUGUCUUGAGUUGCAAGUUCAAGGUUCAAAGCUUCUCUCUCUUUCUCUCUCUCUCUCUCUUUCAAACUCUCCAGCACAGUCAGAACUAGCCAGCCCAUCCUGUAAUUACUGUAAUCACCUCUGACUGUUGCCAUAACAGUGGUCACAUAAAACUGCACCUUCCACUAGCUCUCCAUCCUACAUCACCAUCAGUAAUAAUGUGAGUCAUCUUAAUGCUACUUCAUGCCACACCAUGUCCCAUUUCCAUCCACCAUAAGGUCAUUUAUGCCUUCAUUACAUAAGUGAGAAACCUAGUUCCCAAAUCUCAUUUUCAAGGUUGUUCCUAGGACCACUUCAGUUACCAACUAUUGCAUUAGUCAGGGUCUCAGCAGGAAGCAGCAUCUACACCAGAUGGUUUAGAUAAAGAUAUCUUAAUGAAGAGCUAUCACAGAGGCAUGAGCAAGGUUAAGGGGGCAAAUGUGGGAUGUUAAGGAACUAAUGGCUUAGCAACUGUGUGAAGCCAUCACUACUUCAAGGGCUGAGAGCAGAAGCAAAUAAUGUCACCAAAGGAAGAAGUCAGAUGUAGAGUCAUGAAGGAAGAGACACAGGGCAGGAGUUGCAGUCCAUGGAGGGUCACAGCCACCGCCAGAGAUGUAAUAUACAUGCAGGGAAGAACUACUCCAACCUCACUGCCAAAAACAAUCGGAAGCUGGAAGACAAAGGAGCCUAGGCAGUGCGUUCCAGAAAAAGGGCGAGUAUCCUGGGCCACAAGCAGCAUAAAGAAGGGCUGAGAAUGCAUUUCAGUAACCUGGUCCAGAGAGUCAGCCUUGAAGAACCUGCCUUGUGCUCCUGAGUGUGGAAGAUGUUGGCUGUUUGUGCUCCCCAUUAUCCAUAUCCUUUUAUGGAUGACAAUGAUUGGCCCAAAGAUGGAUCCAAGCUCCUCAGGAGGCUGAGGCAGGAGGACUGGUUGAGCCCAGGAAUUCAAGACCAGCCUGGAGAAAAUAGCAAGACCCUGUCUCAGUAAAUAAAUAAAUAAAUAAAUAAAUAAAUAAAUAAAUAAAUAAAUAAAUACGGUGGGCAUAUGACUCAAGUCAGGCCAAAAGGAGCCAAGAAAAGUCAAUUCCUAGAACUUCAUCAGAGUAAUAAUCAUCUGAAAAGAAUUUGGGGUAUGGCUUUUACUGCCAGAUUUCUAUAGAUGAAGCCAAGACUGAAGCCAACACAGAAGAAAGGCGAACUGAGACAUGACCCACGUCACAUCCCUAUAACAGGCUUGAGCCUUCAUCCAGCCAUAGCCACAUCCUGGCAGAUCCCUGGACUUUUUGUUACAUUCUAUAAGCCUGAGGAGUGAGUCCCAAGAUGGAAGAAACCUAUGUGAUGGCAGAGGGUGAGACGCCCCGGAGAAGAGGAAUAUAUCCCCUGGGAUGAGAGACAAGAUAAACGCUUGAAUCAACACACUCCUCCACAGAGAGUCCAUUUGCUUUCCCGACAAACUGCAUUGGAUUGGAUUUCACAGGCUGCUGAGGCAAUGCAAGGAGACAGCUUUCAGACUCCUGGAGAGAGGAGGCUGCAGGAGCGUGAUCAGGACAACAGCCACGUGGCCCAUGCUCUCCAGCAACACCCAAGGAGCCCAGGAUUCAGAGCAGGGCCGGUGGUGGGGAAAGCCCUGAACGAGAAUCCCACACUGGCUGCAUGACCUCAGAUGAGGCACCUUGACCCUGAAUCUCAGUUUCCCUACCUGUAAAAUAGGAUGAUAAUUUUUGCUGGUGUGGCAGAGUGGAAACUAAGUCUGGGAGUGUUUGGUUUGAUUAUUAGAAGAAACAGGCCAGGCACAGUGGCUCACGCCUGUAAUCCCAGCAUUUUGAGAGGCUGAGGUGGGUGGAUCACUUGAGGUCAGGAGUUCAAGACCAGCCUGGCCAACAUGGCGAAAUCCUGUCUCUACUAAAACUACAAAAACUAGCUGGGUGUGGUGGUGCACACCUGUAAUCCCAGAGUAGGCUGAGGCAGGAGAAUCGCUUGAACCUGGGAGGCAGAGAUUGCAGGGAGCCAAGAUGGCUCCACUGCAUUCCAGCCCAGGCGACGGGGUGAGACCCAGUCUCACAAAAAAGAAAAAGAAGGAGAAGAAGAAGAAGAAGAGGAAACUGCCCCAUAGAGUAGGCUUUUUCAGCCUCCUCUCCCUGGGUCCUCAUAUCAGCCCUGAUUGCCAGGAAGAAGAGAGGUGACGAUUUCCUCUCACAUAGUAAGGAAAUUGUGGCUCAGCGAUAAACUCCAGCUAGCUUGGGGAGUGAGAGGAAUGCCAGGAGUCAGUCGUGGGUGAUGGGCAGCGCCGGGCUCUCUAGGAGCUCCUGUGGUCGUCUGGCUUUAUCCCUCCUCAAAGAGCUGGGAGUAGGGGAGUGAGGCACUUGCCUCAGGCAUGCAAAAUGUAAGGGGGUGCCAAAAAACUCAGUGAUCAAGAUAAAUAAUAUCUUAAUGUGAUAUUUUUAAAAAUCAAAAUUGGUGCAAAAAAUCCAUAAUGAACAAAAUAUCUAAUUUUUAAAUAAAGAUAAGAUCAAUCCUUAUCUCAUAACACAAGCUGUCUCUUCUGCCUGAGCACAGAGGCAGGAAUGCCCUGGGAUGGAGGAAAUACUGCGUGGGACUCCAUAUUGGGGUUUUAUUCAUCUUGGCCUCUCAGUUCAGGGGGUGACUCUUUUUUUUCUCUGACCUCCAGCUUUCCCACCAGAGGCAGGAGAGCCAAGCAAUCUGCCCUUAGGCUCUGGAGUAAGGUAAAGCUGGAUGUUAAUCCCUGCUCCAUUACUUAUUAGCUAGGGGACCUUUGGAUAGUAGCUUGGAAUAGUGGCUUAACAUCCUGUAAACCUCAGUUUUCUUUCUUUUCUUUUUUUUUUUUUUUUUUUGAGAUGGAGCCUGGCUCUGUCACCCACGCUGGAGUGCAAUGGCGUGACCUCUGCUCACUGCGACUUCCGCCUCCCGGGUUCAAGUGAUUCUCCUGCCUCAGCCUCCUCAGUAGCUGGGAUUACGGGUGCGUGCCACCACGCCUGGCUAGUUUUUUGUAUUUUUAGCAGAGACAGGGUUUCACCAUGUUGGCCAGGCUUGUCUCAAACUCCUGACCUCAGGUGAUCCACCCACCUUGGCCUCCCAAAGUGCUGGGAUUACAGGCGUGAGCCUCCACGCUCGGCCUUAAACCUCAGUUUUCUAGUCUGUAAACCUCCAUUUUCUAAUCUGUACCUGCCUGGCUGGGUUACUGUGAAGAUUAAAUGAGAAAAUGUGCACAUGGCUUUUAACACAGGACCUCCGCCAUCAUAAGUGCUCAAUAAACAUUACUUACUGUUUUUACCUCUAAAUUAAGUAUCAUUGUCCUCAGUCCCAAAGUGAGACAAAUUAUAUGCUAAAGAGAUAUGAUAGCACCUAGAAGGAAGGAGAAAAAAAAUCAAGCACAGUGUCCCAUUCCACUGCUGGAAGCCACCAGGAAGACAGUACUAUCUACACAACUCUCUGUCUCCUAAAGGAAUUCUGGGCAUAGUCUGGGUGUUUCAGCCAGGCCCCUCCCAAGAGAAGUUCAAGGUUGAACCCAACCUGCUGGACCACAGGGAGUCUCCUAAUCCCAGCCACACAUUCCCCAGAGCAGGUGCCACAAGCCCAGAGACAAGUCACCAUGGGAAGGUGGAUGUCAGGGCAGCUGAGCCCUGAGGGUCUUGGUAAUGAAAAACUCCCCACCAACACUAUCACUGGUCCUGCUUCCCUUUUUGAAUUGGAUGCUAAGGAGCCUAGAGCUAAAUUUACAGCCCAUCUUUAGCAAGCACAUAAUACUUCACUUCAUACAUUUGGUGUGGAAACCUCCAUCUACAAUUCCUGCUGUUAUUUUCUGUUUGUCUCAUUUCCUCUCACUUGUUUUAAUGUACUUUACGCUGCCUUAAAUCCAUUUUGGAACAAGGUGGGGAAUAGAUAAAUACAUCCUAACUGUAUUUAAACAGCUUUCCAUUGUAUAUGUAUAUAUUCUUGUGUAUCUCUUUUCUAAAAAUUACUGCCUGCUGAUGCCUGCAAAUGGCUGUGUUUGCGUGUGCUAAUUGUGUAACUGACUGGAUUUAAAAUUGAGAGCUUUGAUGAGUACCCAGGAAGCAAGGAAACAGGGUGUUUUCAUUUUCAGUAUAAAAGGGAGGGUUGGGCCCAGGUGUCUGCCUUAAGAAUAGUCAGUUUAAGGCAAUGGUUCUCAACUGGGGCCAGUUUUCCCUCCCAGGGGGGCGCUUUUGGCAAUCUCUGGAGGCAUUUUUGGUUAUCACAACUUAGAGGGCAGGCAUCCGGCAUUGCUACUGGCAUCUAGCACGUAGAGGCCAGGGAUACUGCUAAACAUUCUACAAUGCACAGGACAGGCCCCUCAACCAAGAGGCACCCGGGCUAAAUCAUCAAUAGUGAUGAGGCUGAGAAACCCUGACUUCAAGGUAGAGGAGUUCUAGAAGGAAGAAGGAGCAGAGGCUUGCAGGUACCAAGGCUGCUCUGGGAACCCUCAGGGCAGCCUUCCUGAACCGGGCCAGGAAGAGGAAACAGUGGAGAGGGCCCCAGCUCCUCAGUUACCAGGAGAACCCGGAAUCUCUUACUGGGCCAUGAGAGAAACAAGAACAACUCAUGAAUGAAACAGAUUCCUCAGGUGUCCAGGAGGAGUGAGGCUUUUGUUGUCUAGGAAGGGGGAGCCUUUCAUCUGACACAAGAUAGCUUUUUUUUUUUUUUUUUUUUUUUUUUUUUAAGACAGGGUCUCACUCUGUCAUCCAGGCUGGAGUGCAAUGGUGCAAUGUAGGCUUACUGCAGCCUCAACCUCUGAGGACCAUCUGCUACACUCAGUCCACCAAUUCAAAUGCUAAUCUCUCUGGGGCCCAAGGGAUCCUCCUACCUCAGCCUCCUGAGUAGCUGAGAGCACAAGUGUGCACCGCCAUGCAUGGCUUAUUUAUUUAUUUAUUUUUGUAGAGAUGAGGGUUUUCCUGUGUUGCCCAGGCUAGUCUUGAACUCCUGGGCUGAAGCGAUUCUCCUGCCUUGGCUCCCCAAACUGCUGGGUUGAAGGUGUGAGCUGCUGCACUUGACCUCAGCAGCAGAUGUCUUCUAGUUGCCCCUGCUCCUCCUCCACUGAGAUCUCUGCCUCAAGAAGCUUCCAGUUUUGUUCAGCCCCAGCAGAGGAUAAGAAGGCAAAGAAAACUGAAGAAGGGACAUUGAUUUCCUGGCCCCUCUCCAUGGGGCUGCCUCAGGUCAGCUGAGUUCCUCCACUGAAGUCACAGCUCCUCUCAAAGGGUCCCUCUCCAUAAUAAUAUUUCCUUACAGACUCUGGUAAUGACUUAAUGUCAUCUUCUUUCAUCCUUCUAGGUUAGGGAUGGUCACAGCCCCCCAUUUGACUAGUGCUGGCAUAUUAUGCCAUGUCUCAUGGUUUCCCCAUAGCCUGCUGUAUUAGGAUUCUCCAGAGAAACAGAACCAAGAGGAGACAGAUAGAUAGAUAGAUAGAUAGAUAGAGAGAUAGAUAGGUAGAUAGAUAGAUAAUAGAUAAUUAGAUAGAUAUAUGAUAUAUUAUUAGAUAGAUGAUAUAGAUAGAUAUAUAAUUAGGUAGAUAGAUGAUAGAUACACAGAUGGACAGAUAGAUUACACAGAUACUAGAUAGGUAGAUAGAUGAUAGAAAGAUAAAUAGAUUACAUAGAUGAUAAAUAGAUGAGAUAGAUAGAGAGAUAGAUAGAUAAUAAUUAGAUAGAUAUAUGAUAUAUUAUUAGAUAGAUGAUAUAGAUAGAUAUAUAAUUAGGUAGAUAGAUGAUAGAUACACAGAUGGACAGAUAGAUUACACAGAUACUAGAUAGGUAGAUAGAUGAUAGAAAGAUAAAUAGAUUACAUAGAUGAUAAAUAGAUAUGAUAGAAAGAUAAAUAGAUUACAUAGAUGAUAAAUAGAUGAGAUAGAUAGAUAUAGAUAGAUAGAUAGAUAGAUAGAUAGAUAGAUAGAUAAUAGAUAGUGAUAUAGUUUGGCUGUGUCCCCACCCAAAUCUCAUCUUGAAUUGUAGCUCCCAUAAUCCCCACAUGUCAUGGGAGGGACCCAGUGCGAGGUAAUUGAAUCAUGGGAGUGGGUUUUUCUCAAGCUGUUCUUGUUAAUCAGUCUCACGAGAUCUGAUGGUUUAUAAAGGGUAGUUCCCUUGCACACUCUCUUUUGCCUGCCACCAUGUAAGAUGUGCCUUUGCUCCUCCUUUGCCUUCCACUAUGAUUUGAGGCCUCCCCAGCCAUGUGGAACCAUGAGUCCAUUAAAUCUCUUUUUCUUUAUAAAUUACCCAGUGUCAGGUAUUUCUUCAUAGCAGUAUGAAAAUGGACUAAUCCAGAUAGAUAGAUAGAUAGAUGAUAG